rnacentral:rRNA from 1 species
CAGGCCUAACACAUGCAAGUCGAACGAGAAAGUGGAGCAAUCCAUGAGUAAAGUGGCGACCGGGUGAGUAACACGUGACUAACCUACCUUCGAGUGGGGGAUAACCUAGGGAAACCUGGGCUAAUACCGCAUAACAUCUUUGGAGUGGAAAUUCUGGAGAUCAAAGGAGCAAUUCGCUUGAAGAGGGGGUCGCGGCUGAUUAGCUAGUUGGCGGGGUAAUGGCCCACCAAGGCUUUGAUCGGUAGCCGGCCUGAGAGGGCGCACGGCCACACUGGAACUGAAACACGGUCCAGACUCCUACGGGAGGCAGCAGUGGGGAAUUUUGCGCAAUGGGGGAAACCCUGACGCAGCAACGCCGCGUGGAGGAUGAAGCCCCUUGGGGCGUAAACUCCUUUCGACCAAGACGAUAAUGACGGUACUGGUGGAAGAAGCACCGGCUAACUCUGUGCCAGCAGCCGCGGUAAUAC